GCUGGCGGCGUGCCUAACACAUGCAAGUCGAGCGGUAACAGGUGUAGCAAUACAUGCUGACGAGCGGCGAACGGGUGAGUAAUGCUUCGGAAUCUGCCCAAUGGUGGGGAAUAACCAGCCGAAAGGUUGGCUAAUACCGCAUAAGUCCUACGGGGGAAAGCAGGGGAUCGCAAGACCUUGCGCCGAUGGAUGAGCCGAAGUCGGAUUAGCUAGUUGGUAGGGUAACGGCCUACCAAGGCGACGAUCCGUAGCUGGUCUGAGAGGACGACCAGCCACACUGGGACUGAGACACGGCCCAGACUCCUACGGGAGGCAGCAGUGGGGAAUAUUGGACAAUGGGGGAAACCCUGAUCCAGCGACGCCGCGUGUGUGAAGAAGGCCUGCGGGUUGUAAAGCACUUUUAGUGGGGAUGAAAAGCUCAGGGCUAACACCUCUGGGUCUUGACCUAACCCAAAGAAAAAGCACCGGCUAACUCUGUGCCAGCAGCCGCGGUAAUACAGAGGGUGCGAGCGUUAAUCGGAAUUACUGGGCGUAAAGCGUGCGUAGACGGUUAUGUAAGUCGGGUGUGAAAGCCCCGGGCUCA
rnacentral:rRNA from 1 species